AUGCACCUUCCCAUCCCUCUUCCCAUCCCUCUCCCUGUCCCUCCUCCAUCCCUCUCCCUGUCCCUCCUUCCAUCCUUCCCUCUGUCCUUCCCUCCAUCCCUCUCCCCGUCCCUCUCCCUGUCCCUCUCUCCAUCCUUCCCUCCAUCCCUCUUUCCAUCUUUCCCUCCAUCCCUCUCCCUGGCCCUCUUUCCAUCCCUCUCUCCAUCCCUUUCCAUCCUUCCCUUCAUCCUUCUCCCUCUCCCUGUCCCUCCUUCCAUCCUUCCCUCGAUCCCUCUUUCCAUCCUUCCCUCCGUCUGUCCCUCCAUCCUCUCCCUGUCCCUUUUCUCAUCCUUCCCUCUGUCCUUCCCUCCAUCCCUCUCCCCAUCCCUCUCCCUGUCCCUCCCUCUAUCCUUCCCUCAAUCCCUCUUUCCAUUCUUCCCUCUGUCUUGUCCCUCCAUCCUCUCUCUGUCCCUCUUUCCAUCCUUCCCUCCAUCUGCCUUCCCAUCCCUCUUCCCAUCCUUCCCUCCAUCCCUUUCCCUGGCCCUCCCUCCUUCUUCCCAUCCCUCUCCCUGCCCCUCUUUCCAUCCCUCUCUCCAUCCCUCUCCCUGCCCCUCUUUCCAUCCCUCUCUCCAUCCCUCUCCCUGUCCCUCUUUCCAUUCUUCCCUCCAUCCUUCUGUCCAUCCUCUCCUUGUCCCUCUUUCCAUUCUUCCCUCCAUCCUUCCCUCCUACCCUCUCCCUGUCCCUCCUCCAUCCCUCUCCCUGGCCCUCUUUCCAUCCCUCUCUCCAUCCCUCUCCCUGGCCCUCUUUCCAUCCUUCUCUCCAUCCCUUUCCAUCCUUCCCUUCAUCCUUCUCCCUCUCCCUGUUCCUCUCCCUGUCCCUCCCUCCAUCCUUCCCUCGAUCCCUCUUUCCAUCCUUCCCUCUGUCCUUCCCUCCAUCCCUUUCCCUGGCCCUCCCUCCUUCUUCCCAUCCCUCUCCCUGUCCCUCCUCCACCCCUCUCCUCGUCCCUCUCUCCAUUCUUCCCUCCAUCCUUCUUUCCAUCCCUCUCCCCAUCCUUUUCCAUCCUUCCCUCCCCCCCUCUCCCUCUCUCCGCCCUCCCCUCCCUCUCUCUCCCUGUCCCUCCCUCCCAGGCCUGGGGGUAACAGCCCUUUCCCUGUUUUGCAGGUGGGGCGUCCCGUGGUGUCUGACGACUUUCCCCUUCCCCAAGUGCAGUAUCCAAACCCGUAA
rnacentral:lncRNA from 1 species